AAGAAGAGAGAUUUCCGUAGGAAAGAAACUCAGUAUGUCAAUAAAAGAAGAGUUUGCAGCAGCAAUGUUGUCACUACACAGCUUGGAAUCUGGACUGCCAUCGUACAAUCUCUGAUGUCUUCUGACAACCAAAUAGGUGACCCUUAUUCCUGUGGCGUUUGUUAGUAGAUCCAACUACUUUAGCGAUGGAUACUGGUUGUCACAUUUUUGCUCUUGCUAGCAUGAAUUAUCUUACCUCCAAAAUCUUUAACAUGAGAUUCUACACUAUGGAAGAAAUUUUGUUUUAUUUCU
rnacentral:lncRNA from 1 species